rnacentral:ncRNA from 1 species
AAAGUGAAGGGUUUGAUCCUGGCUCAGAACGAACGCUGGCGGCGUGGCUAAGACAUGCAAGUCGAACGAACCGGUUAAUUGAGCAAUC